ACGGAAGGCAGCAGUGAGGGAUAUUGCACAAUGGGCGAAAGCCUGAUGCAGCAACGCCGCGUGAGGGAUGACGGUUUUCGGAUUGUAAACCUCUGUCUUCGGUGAAGAUAAUGACAUUAGCCGAGGAGGAAGCCACGGCUAACUACGUGCCAGCAGCCGCGGUAAUACGUAGGUGGCAAGCGUUGUCCGGAUUUACUGGGUGUAAAGGGAGCGCAGGCGGGAGAUCAAGUCAGUGGUGAAAUGCAUGGGCUUAACCCAUGAACUGCCAUUGAAACUGACCUUCUUGAGUGGAGUAGAGGCAAGCGGAAUUCCGAGUGUAGCGGUGAAAUGCGUAGAUAUUCGGAGGAACACCAGUGGCGAAGGCGGCUUGCUGGGCUUUUACUGACGCUGAGGCUCGAAAGUGUGGGGAGCAAACAGGAUUAGAUACCCUGGUA
rnacentral:rRNA from 1 species